GAUGCCAGGGUCAAAAGGUCAAAAAGCCGUUCAUGCUUGCAUGAUAAGGCUUUUGAACUUGGGACCCGCCAAACAUGAAAAAGCAGCGAUUUACGCAGUAAAUCAGCGGAUUUUGAAUGUUUGUAGAAUUGCGGGAGCUGCUUUGCAGCGGAGCAAUUCGUAGGCAUC
rnacentral:sRNA from 1 species